rnacentral:rRNA from 1 species
AAGAUGGGAGCUUGCUCCCUGAUGUUAGCGGCGGACGGGUGAGUAACACGUGGGUAACCUGCCUGUAAGACUGGGAUAACUCCGGGAAACCGGGGCUAAUACCGGAUGCUUGUUUGAACCGCAUGGUUCAAACAUAAAAGGUGGCUUCGGCUACCACUUACAGAUGGACCCGCGGCGCAUUAGCUAGUUGGUGAGGUAAUGGCUCACCAAGGCAACGAUGCGUAGCCGACCUGAGAGGGUGAUCGGCCACACUGGGACUGAGACACGGCCCAGACUCCUACGGGAGGCAGCAGUAGGGAAUCUUCCGCAAUGGACGAAAGUCUGACGGAGCAACGCCGCGUGAGUGAUGAAGGUUUUCGGAUCGUAAAGCUCUGUUGUUAGGGAAGAACAAGUGCCGUUCAAAUAGGGCGGCACCUUGACGGUACCUAACCAGAAAGCCACGGCUAACUACGUGCCAGCAGCCGCGGUAAUACGUAGGUGGCAAGCGUUGUCCGGAAUUAUUGGGCGUAAAGGGCUCGCAGGCGGUUUCUUAAGUCUGAUGUGAAAGCCCCCGGCUCAACCGGGGAGGGUCAUUGGAAACUGGGGAACUUGAGUGCAGAAGAGGAGAGUGGAAUUCCACGUGUAGCGGUGAAAUGCGUAGAGAUGUGGAGGAACACCAGUGGCGAAGGCGACUCUCUGGUCUGUAACUGACGCUGAGGAGCGAAAGCGUGGGGAGCGAACAGGAUUAGAUACCCUGGUAGUCCACGCCGUAAACGAUGAGUGCUAAGUGUUAGGGGGUUUCCGCCCCUUAGUGCUGCAGCUAACGCAUUAAGCACUCCGCCUGGGGAGUACGGUCGCAAGACUGAAACUCAAAGGAAUUGACGGGGGCCCGCACAAGCGGUGGAGCAUGUGGUUUAAUUCGAAGCAACGCGAAGAACCUUACCAGGUCUUGACAUCCUCUGACACCCCUAGAGAUAGGGCUUCCCCUUCGGGGGCAGAGUGACAGGUGGUGCAUGGUUGUCGUCAGCUCGUGUCGUGAGAUGUUGGGUUAAGUCCCGCAACGAGCGCAACCCUUGAUCUUAGUUGCCAGCAUUCAGUUGGGCACUCUAAGGUGACUGCCGGUGACAAACCGGAGGAAGGUGGGGAUGACGUCAAAUCAUCAUGCCCCUUAUGACCUGGGCUACACACGUGCUACAAUGGACAGAACAAAGGGCAGCGAGACCGCGAGGUUAAGCCAAUCCCACAAAUCUGUUCUCAGUUCGGAUCGCAGUCUGCAACUCGACUGCGUGAAGCUGGAAUCGCUAGUAAUCGCGGAUCAGCAUGCCCGGUGAAUACGUUCCCGGGCCUUGUACACACCGCCCGUCACACCACGAGAGUUUGUAACACCCGAGUCGGUGAGGUAACCUUUAUGGAGCCAGCCGCCGAAGGUGGGAC